rnacentral:ncRNA from 1 species
CAUUGCGGCAUAACGAAUGGUUCCCGAGCGGCGAUCUGUCGCAUGGGAUGAAAAGGGAAUGUGAAGGGACGGACCCAAUCCGGGCGUUCUCAUCACAGCCGACCCCGCGACUGUAGAGCGGUCAGGGUUUUCCAUUCGGUUUUGGGGCAUUUCGCUGACAGUUCGCAAUGGUGCGGGCGAGUGGAAACAGCUUCAGAGCCGGAAAAAGCCACUGGCGUGGCAUCAUGAUCAACCAGGGCUGGACGCCUCUAAUAUCUACGAAUCGUCCGCUUUUUCAUGAUGAUCUGCCGGGAAGGCGAGGAAGAUCCGCUGGUGCAUGAGCGGGGGCGACCGGUUUCGGUUCGCCUCCGCUUGCCGCACCUUACCCGCGAGCCAGGAGACCUGCCAUGCGUACCGGGCGCAA